CGUCCGUCACAGGUGUCCUCAACCGAGUCCAUCACGAUUCUCUCACAAAAACCGAAUCCAUCACGAAAUUGAUAUCGGCCCCUCGAUCGCAUCGCAAAAGCCUCACAUACGCACGCUCUUCUGGCCACGGCGUCAUCUGUUGAGACCUUCUCUACCCGAUUCCUCGCCGCCGCAGAGAGUUUUCCGUCUCGAUUCCUCGUGGCCGAUGCCAAUGUUUCCGUCUCGAUUUCUCGCCGUCGGCGUCGAUUUCCGGAUUCAGGUUUCAGUCCGGUGCCUUCCUGGUCCGCGCGGCCAUGGCUGCUCGACAUCCUCUCACCGGUAACCGAGAUUUCAUAUUCGACCUGGUGGUCAUGCGGAUUUGUGGUCCAAAUCCCGGAGGUGUGCACGCUGGGCAUGGUCAUGUAUGUGGGCGUCGUCGACCACGGUAAGUUUCUCGCGCUCGUUUAUGUUCUUGACCGCGCAGUGCACCUACAGCCACCUCUCGCCCUUGGUGCUGGUGGUAGGCCCGGGCUUUCUUCUUUAUGAACAGGAUGGGUGGUGGCUUGGAGAGUUCGUAUCUCUGCUACUCGCAGCGGAUCUUCAUCGGACAGAUCGUCCAUGCGAUUUUGAAGACGAAUUUGAGGGAAAAAAAGGAGUUUGGGUUUGGGACACGUUCUAUGAAUGAAGAUGAGCGUGAAGGAUAAGAGGCUCAUGGAAUCGGGUAUUUUACAUAUUCUUCACGGAUCAAACAUCUCCAUCUGCACAACCAACGAAUGUUAUUUGUGUUCUGCAAUUAUAUGAUAUCAAGGCAAUAGACCAGCUAUUAUGUUUGCUUAAUGACUGCCGCUGGUCUCUAAGUUGGAGGCUGCUGAUUUGCAA